ACGGGAGGCAGCAGUGGGGAAUAUUGCACAAUGGGGGAAACCCUGAUGCAGCGACGCCGCGUGAGUGAAGAAGUAUUUCGGUAUGUAAAGCUCUAUCAGCAGGAAAGAAAAUGACGGUACCUGACUAAGAAGCCCCGGCUAACUACGUGCCAGCAGCCGCGGUAAUACGUAUGGUGCAAGCGUUAUCCGGAUUUACUGGGUGUAAAGGGAGCGUAGACGGCAUGGCAAGUCUGAAGUGAAAGCCUGGGGCUCAACCCCGGAACUGCUUUGGAAACUGUUAAGCUAGAGUGCAGGAGAGGUAAGUGGAAUUCCUAGUGUAGCGGUGAAAUGCGUAGAUAUUAGGAGGAACAUCAGUGGCGAAGGCGGCUUACUGGGCUUUAACUGACGCUGAGGCUCGAAAGCGUGGGGAGCAAACAGGAUUAGAUACCCUGGUA
rnacentral:rRNA from 1 species